AGAACGAACGCUGGCGGCAGGCCUCAAACAUGCAAGUCUAGGGGGUGUAGCAAUACAUCACCGGCGGACGGGUGCGUAACACGUGGGAAUAUACCUUUUGGUUCGGAACAACGCAGGGAAACUUGCGCUAAUACCGAAUGUGCCCUUACGGGGAAAGAUUUAUCGCCAAAGGAUUAGCCCGCGUAGGAUUAGCUAGUUGGUGAGGUAAUGGCUCACCAAGGCUCCGAUCCUUAGCUGUUCUGAGAGGAAGAUCAGCCACACUGGGACUGAGACACGGCCCAGACUCCUACGGGAGGCAGCAGUUGGGAAUCUUGGACAAUGGGGAAACCCUGAUCCAGCCAUGCCGCGUGAGUGAUGAAGGCCUUCGGGUUGUAAAACUCUUUCGGACGGGGACGAUAAUGACGGUACCCGUAGAAGAAGCUCCGGCUAACUUCGCGCCAGCAGCCGC
rnacentral:rRNA from 1 species